rnacentral:rRNA from 1 species
UGGGGAAUAUUGCACAAUGGGCGCAAGCCUGAUGCAGCCAUGCCGCGUGUAUGAAGAAGGCCUUCGGGUUGUAAAGUACUUUCAGCGGGGAGGAAGGGAGUAAAGUUAAUACCUUUGCUCAUUGACGUUACCCGCAGAAGAAGCACCGGCUAACUCCGUGCCAGCAGCCGCGGUAAUACGGAGGGUGCAAGCGUUAAUCGGAAUUACUGGGCGUAAAGCGCACGCAGGCGGUUUGUUAAGUCAGAUGUGAAAUCCCCGGGCUCAACCUGGGAACUGCAUCUGAUACUGGCAAGCUUGAGUCUCGUAGAGGGGGGUAGAAUUCCAGGUGUAGCGGUGAAAUGCGUAGAGAUCUGGAGGAAUACCAGUGGCGAAGGCGGCCCCCUGGACGGAGACUGACGCUCAGGUGCGAAAGCGUGGGGAGCAAACAGG